CGGAUGAGUCGCAAAGUGGUCCGUACAGAUUCAACCGUUCGAACGUUGACUGCGUGCAGAUGCGACGCGCACUGGCUUCGGCGCCGGUCUUCGUCGAUCGGCGCACUUCUGUACGGACAGCGUCACGACCGAUUCGGCUCGGGUCAUAAGCUUCGUAGGAAGGUGACUCUCGCUUCGGCGGGAGUGUUAUAGCCUAUGAAAGCGUCGGCCCGAGACGGAUCGAGGAAUGGCCGUACCCGCUCUAGCACGGGCCCGCGCUCGACGCGUACCGCUCGACUGGGCUGGACUGUUACAGUGCUGUCCGACCGCGGCUUGUUCGAUCGGCUCCCGGGUACACAAGGUC
rnacentral:rRNA from 1 species